UCGCACGGCCAUACCAGCCUGCGUCCGCCCGAUCUCGUCUGAUCUCGGAAGCUAAGCAGGGUCGGCCUGGUUAGUACCUGGAUGGGAGACCGCCUGGGAAUACCAGGUGCUGUAAGCA
rnacentral:rRNA from 1 species